UAAUACGGAGGGGGCCAGCGUUGUUCGGAAUCAUUGGGCGUAAAGGGCGCGUAGGCGGCUCGGCAAGUCAGACGUGAAAUCCCGCGGCUCAACCGCGGAACUGCGUUUGAAACUGCCGGGCUUGAGUCCCGGAGAGGGUAGUGGAAUUCCCAGUGUAGCGGUGAAAUGCGUAGAUACUGGGAGGAACACCGGUGGCGAAGGCGGCUACCUGGACGGGUACUGACGCUGAGGCGCGAAAGCGUGGGGAGCAAACAGGAUUAGAUACCCUGGUAGUCCACGCUGUAAACGAUGGGCACUUGGUGUUGCGGGUAUCGACCCCUGCAGUGCCGAAGCUAACGCAUUAAGUGCCCCGCCUGGGGAGUACGGUCGCAAGGCUG
rnacentral:rRNA from 1 species